rnacentral:rRNA from 1 species
UUUGCUGACGAGUGGCGCACGGGUGCGUAACGCGUAUGCAAUCUACCUUGUACUGGAGUAUAGCCCAGGGAAACUUGGAUUAAUCCUCCAUAGUCUAUUGAUAUGGCAUCGUAUUAAUAGUAAAGGUUACGGUACAAGAUGAGCAUGCGUCCUAUUAGCUAGUAGGUGUGGUAACGGCACACCUAGGCAACGAUAGGUAGGGGUCCUGAGAGGGAGAUCCCCCACACUGGUACUGAGACACGGACCAGACUCCUACGGGAGGCAGCAGUGAGGAAUAUUGGACAAUGGGCGGGAGCCUGAUCCAGCCAUGCCGCGUGCAGGAAGACUGCCCUAUGGGUUGUAAACUGCUUUUAUACGGGAAGAAUAAGUGUUACGUGUAGCACGAUGACGGUACCGUAAGAAUAAGCACCGGCUAACUCCGUGCCAGCAGCCGCGGUAAUACGGAGGGUGCAAGCGUUAUCCGGAAUCAUUGGGUUUAAAGGGUCCGUAGGUGGACUAAUAAGUCAGUGGUGAAAGUCUGCAGCUUAACUGUAGAAUUGCCAUUGAUACUGUUGGUCUUGAAUUGUUGUGAAGUAACUAGAAUAUGUAGUGUAGCGGUGAAAUGCAUAGAUAUUACAUAGAAUACCGAUUGCGAAGGCAGGUUACUAACAAUAUAUUGAC